CACGGCUUGUGCGGCUGGAGGCUUCUCCUGUUUUUUUAGUUACUGGGCUUGUUGGCUGAGUGAAUGAGUGUACUGCUGGUUUCGAUGGUGGGAACUGUUGCACCUACGAGGAAUGUAACCUGUGGGCACUUCCACAUGCGCGCAAGAAAGCUUGUACCCCAGCAGUUCUUGGGAGAGAUGGAAGAAAUAAAACUUGGAAACGUAGUCAUUCAUCGGUAGAGGAAAGAUGAAAUAAACGUGGUAUGUCCGCAUUAUGGAACAUCCCGUAGCUCUUGAAAAGAACAGAGUAGCUCUAUGUGAUACAGUAAAUAUAAAUGGGAGGGGAAAGCAAUCAAGUUGCCGCAAACCAUGUUUUGGCGCUUAGCUACAUUUUGUUGCUGCUGCUGCUAAGUCGCUUCAGUCGUGUCCGACUCUGUGCGACCCCAUAGACGGCAGCCCACUAGGCUCCCCCGUCCCCGGGAUUCUCCAGGCAAGAACGCUGGAAUGGGCUGCCACUUCCUUCUCCAAUGCGUGAAAGUGAAAAGUGAAAGUGAAAUCGCUCAGUCGUGUCCUGACUCGUAGCGACCCCAUGGACUGCAGCCUACCAGGCUCCUCAGUCC
ensembl:lncRNA